GGGGGAAUAUUGGGCAAUGGGGCGCAAGCCUGACCCAGCAACGCCGCGUGAAGGAAGAAGGCCCUCGGGUUGUAAACUUCUUUUAUCAAGGACGAAGAAAGUGACGGUACUUGAUGAAUAAGCCACGGCUAACUACGUGCCAGCAGCCGCGGUAAUACGUAGGUGGCAAGCGUUAUCCGGAUUUACUGGGUGUAAGGGCGUGUAGGCGGGAUGGUAAGUCAGAUGUGAAAACUCAGGGCUCAACCCUGAGCCUGCAUUUGAAACUAUCGUUCUUGAGUGUUGGAGAGGCAGGCGGAAUUCCGUGUGUAGCGGUGAAAUGCGUAGAUAUACGGAGGAACACCAGUGGCGAAGGCGGCCUGCUGGACAAUAACUGACGCUGAGGCGCGAAAGCGUGGGGAGCAAACAGGAUUAGAUACCC
rnacentral:rRNA from 1 species